rnacentral:rRNA from 1 species
AGAGUUUGAUCCUGGCUCAGGAUGAACGCUAGCGGCAGGCCUAAUACAUGCAAGUCGGGCGGCAAGUUGAGGAGUAAUCUGAGACCUAGAGCGGCGGACGGGUGCGUAACGCGUAUGCAACCUGCCCCUUACCGGGGGAUAGCCCGGGGAAACCCGGAUUAAUACCCCAUAGGAUAACACUGUGGCAUCACGGAGUUAUUAAAGAUUUAUCGGUAAGGGAUGGGCAUGCGUAGGAUUAGUUAGUUGGCGGGGUAACGGCCCACCAAGACUUUGAUCCUUAGGGGUUCUGAGAGGAAGGUCCCCCACACUGGCACUGAGAUACGGGCCAGACUCCUACGGGAGGCAGCAGUAGGGAAUAUUGGGCAAUGGGCGGGAGCCUGACCCAGCCAUGCCGCGUGCAGGAAGAAGGCGUUAUGCGUUGUAAACUGCUUUUAUACGGGAAGAAAAGGCCCAUGCGUGGGACAUUGCCGGUACCGUAUGAAUAAGCACCGGCUAACUCCGUGCCAGCAGCCGCGGUAA